AUCUCCUUGCUUAACAAGGAAAUUGCCAUUGAAACUGUCAGACUUGAGAAUGGACGAGGCAGGCGGAAUUCGUAGUGUAGCGGUGAAAUGCAUAGAUAUUACGAAGAACUCCAAUAGUGUAGACUGCUUGCCAGACCAUAUCUGACACUAAGGCACGAAAGUGUGGGUAUCAAACAGGAUUAGAUACCCUGGUAGUCCACACAGUAAACGAUGAAUACUAACUGUUUGCGAUAUACAGCAAGUGGUCAAGCGAAAGCGUUAAGUAUUCCACCUGGGAAGUACGCCGGCAACGGUGAAACUCAAAGGAAUUGACGGGGGCCCGCACAAGCGGAGGAACAUGUGGUUUAAUUCGAUAAUACGCGAGGAACCUUACCCGGGCUCGAACGAUAUUUGAAUACAUCCGAAAAGAUGUAGCUAGCAAUAGCAAAUACCGAGGUGCUGCAUGGUUGUCGUCAGCUCGUGCCGUGAGGUGUCGACUUAAGUGUCAUAACGAGCGCAACCCUUACCAAUAGUUGCCAUCAGGUAAUGCUGGGGACUCUGUUGGGACUGCCACCGUAAGGUGUGAGGAAGGAGAGGAUGACGUCAAAUCAGCACGGCCCUUAUGUCCGGGGCGACACACGUGUUACAAUGGGAGAAACAAAGGGUCGCUACCUGGCAACAGGAUGCUAAUCUCAAAAAUCUCUCUCAGUUCGGAUUGGAGUCUGCAACUCGACUCCAUGAAGCUGGAUUCGCUAGUAAUCGCACAUCAGCCAUGGUGCGGUGAAUACGUUCCCGGGCAUUGUACACACCGCCCG
rnacentral:rRNA from 1 species